rnacentral:tRNA from 1 species
GUGAUCGUAGUUCAGCAGGUAGAGCGCCAGAUUGUGGUUCUGGUUGUCGCGAGUUCAAGUCUCGUCGAUCACCCCA